UAUGUACUGUCACUUCCUUCUACCGUAGAGUUGUUAUCACUAUCGCUCUACCGAACAGCCAAAGCCAAUCACGUAUAGCAUGCAUCGUUUCCGAAAACGAACGCACGGAUUCUGCAUUAGCAGGGAAAGCACUGGCCAUCAAAUAAUGGUGAUUUGAUUUCGGUGACUUAAUGACCCGUUGCUCGGAAUAAACCCAGAAGUUUCCGAUUGCCGCCGAUGUGACGAGUGUUAUGAUCAUGAACGGAGUAUCUAUCGUCGUGUCAGCCAUUCGGAGCCGAGAGCAUUCCAAACGUAUUACAGCUAAAUCGGUAUGCCUCCGCCCCACCCUCUGCGGUAACGACGUAAGAAGAACUGAAUCGAAGGAAUUAUUCAAGCGAAACAAACUAGUAGGAUUGAAUUUUUCUCAUGAACCAACGUUAGAAAUGGGAUUUCGUGCAGCAGUUACUUCUGGAACUGUCAUUAGGAGGAAGCUUUUUACCCUGAUUGAGUUCGCAACUACAGCAUUGAAUGCAGUGAAGGGACUGUUAAAAGAAUACCAGAUUCUGGUCUACGUGGUUUAAGAACGGUUCCUAAGUCGGUGCAAAACAUUUCCUUCCCCAACUAGUAGAACUGCUUUACCAUUGCGCUGUCAUGGGAGUGUUAAGAAACAGGAGCAACAAGAUGAAGUAUAAGGAGUUUUGUAAUUGAUUUUUCAAUCAAUUGUCUGUUCUAUGACAACUAUAGGGGAAGAUGUUCGAUUGCCGGCAGUGUUCGGUUGCCGGCACCCCACCGUAACAGAAAGCAGAUAGCCG